rnacentral:lncRNA from 1 species
AUAUGUGUAUUUUUCAAGUUUUGUUAAGAUUUAUUGGUGUUUAUGCGGUUUGUUAGGUUAUUUUGGUUUUUAUGCCCAUUCAGAUUGAUUUUUGCUUCUGUUUCAGUAUGUAUUUAUGAACUUGUAAAGUUUUGCAUAGGUCUUUUUCUGCUUGUUUUUUAUCUAUGCUCAUUAUGUGUAAAUUAGUGUUAAGUUCUGAAAAUAGGGUGAUGUUGAUGCUCUGUUGUUUAUUAAAAUGAUGGAAAAUAGGUAAUUUUUCUGAGUAAUUAUGUUCAUUGAUUUUGGAGAUAUUAAUAUCUCUGAAAACUAAUAUUAAUUUUUUUUUUGGAGAUAUCUGAGGGAUAAAUAACAAUGUAUGUAUUUGUACAUAUGUAUUUGCUUGUUGGUUUGCACGGAUACAGUUGGGUUUUGAAUUUUAUAUGUUUGGAUGCGGUGUUAUUGAUAUGCUUGUGAUUUAUGUUUGAUCUAUGUGUGGGUGCAGAAAGGUGGUGAGAUUGUCGAUUGCACAGGUAUUGACAGUUAUUUCACAGAAGCAGAAGGCUGCUCUGAGGGAAGCCUACAAGAACAAGAAGUACUUGCCACUUGAUCUGCGCCCCAAGAAGACCAGAGCCAUUCGCAAGCGACUCACCAAGCAUCAGGUAAUCCUUCUUUUUGAUAUGAUGCUCUUGUUGAUUUGUUGUUUCUAAUAUUUUCCGGUUGAAGGUUCAUUUUUGUGAAUAUCAAUUUAAUCUUUCUUUUUUUAUUUUAAUUUUUUUAUGUGUUAUUAUAUUUCUUAAAAAUACUAACAUGGAGGUUGCUCAACCAUUUGUUGAAAAUAUUUGAAAACCAUAGUCUGUUUAGCUGAAGAGAAAAUGCUAGGCAUUGUAUAUGGUUUCAACUGGACCUACUAUAGCAUUUGUGUUAGUUUAGGGGAAUGGUUUGUUUGUUGGAGGCCAAAACAACAAAAUCCUCAUAGUGCCUCUUUCUCUUCACCAUUUAUAUUCAGAAGUUCACUGGAAACUGGGAAGUUAUAUUUUAUUUUAUAUCUUUAAUUACUUUUAAAGCUUCAUGGUAGACCAUUUUAUGCUUGAAAGGUUGGAUUGGAAGGAGGUUUGUGUUAUUCAACUGGGAUGGUUCCCCCUCCCCAAAUGUUGCUGCAGUAACCAUGUUACUGUGCCUUCAGAAUUUUCCAUGCUUGUAGCCCGUUUCUAGCUUUAUGUAUUGUUAUUCCUUG